rnacentral:rRNA from 1 species
AUUGAACGCUGGCGGCAGGCUUAACACAUGCAAGUCGAGCGAGUGGCGGACGGGUGAGUAAUGUCUGGGAAACUGCCUGAUGGAGGGGGCUAACUACUGGAAACGGUAGCUCAUACCGCAUACCAUCGGAUGUGCCCAGAUGGGAUUAGCUAGUCGGUGGGGUAAAGGCUCACCUAGGCGACGAUCCAUAGCUGGUCUGAGAGGAGGACCAGCCACACUGGAACUGAGACACGGGCCAGACGCCUACGGGAGGCAGAAGGGGGGAAUAUUGCACAAGGGGCGCAAGCCUGAUGCAGCCAUGCCGCGUGUAUGAAGAAGGCCUGCGGGUUGGAAAGUACUUUCAGCGGGGAGGCGUUACCCGCAGAAGAAGCACCGGCUAACUCCGUGCCAGCAGCCGCGGUAAUAC